CUUGGCGAAGAUACUACCACCAUGAAUGUGCCUGAUCUCGUCUAAUCACAGCAGCUAAGCGGUGUCAAGCCUGGUUAGUACUUGGUUGGGAGGCCAUCUGGGAAUAUUGGAUGCGAUAAGA
rnacentral:rRNA from 1 species